UACGUAGGGGGCUAGCGUUGUUCGGAUUUACUGGGCGUAAAGCGCACGUAGGCGGAUCGUUAAGUCGGGGGUGAAAUCCUGGAGCUCAACUCCAGAACUGCCUUCGAUACUGGCGAUCUUGAGUCCGGAAGAGGUGAGUGGAACUCCUAGUGUAGAGGUGGAAUUCGUAGAUAUUAGGAAGAACACCAGUGGCGAAGGCGGCUCACUGGUCCGGUACUGACGCUGAGGUGCGAAAGCGUGGGGAGCGAACAGG
rnacentral:rRNA from 1 species